ACCCGCCCCCACUUAAGAAAUUUUAAAUUCCUGUAAGGCAUCAUUUUCAGAAAUUAUUGCUCAAGGCAGGACUCUAGACGUAUCUUUAGCAGACUUUGGAAUGAUGUUUAGUUGUUCCUGGAAAGAUGACUAUCUUUUGAAAUAGUGUAGAUAUAUUGACUUUCAUAGACUAUUAAUGCUUAAUUUUAAGGACUGAGUAGGUAGCUUAGUAUAUUUUCAGUGAGAAACUGAUCAGGCCUUUAUUAUUGGUUAGGGUACCCAGAAUUGAGGUGAUUAAUUUUGGGUUAUAUAUAGUAAAACGCAGGAAACUACAAUGUUUAUAAACAAAGUAUCUAUCAUAGGACAAAGAUAAAAUUGGAUAAUAAUGGAGAAAAAUAAACAAAAGUGGAAUGAGACUUUAGCUUUCAAUAAAUAGAUAAGGUGGUUGGUUAUGUAGGAACACAGAGGAAUUAAUAGUCUUACAUUUUGUUUUUCCAAGUUUUAUAAAUCCAAAAAUGAAAAAGAGUAUGAUUCUACUAUAAUUUUUUCUUUUAACUUUUUACAUUUCCAUUCUUCCUUCAGGCCAUUUAUUUCUCAGAAAAUCCAUUUUCCUGAUUUUUCUACCAGAGACAUACAUAGGAAUUAUGUUGAUUGUGUGCGAUGGUUAGGCGAUUUGAUACUUUCUAAGAGUGGCCGUGCCAUUUUACAUUCCCACCAGCAAUGUAUGAGAGAUCCAGUGUCUCCGAAUCUUCGCCAGCAUUUGUCUUGUGAAAAUGCCAUUGUGUGCUGGAAACCUGGCAAGAUGGAAGAUGAUAUAGAUAAAAUUAAACCCAGUGAAUCUAAUGUGACUAUUCUUGGGCGAUUUGAUUACAGCCAGUGUGACAUUUGGUACAUGAGGUUUUCUAUGGAUUUCUGGCAAAAGAUGCUUGCAUUGGGCAAUCAAGUUGGCAAACUUUAUGUUUGGGAUUUAGAAGUAGAAGAUCCUCAUAAAGCCAAAUGUACAACACUGACUCAUCAUAAAUGUGGUGCUGCUAUUCGACAAACCAGUUUUAGCAGGGAUAGCAGCAUUCUUAUAGCUGUUUGUGAUGAUGCCAGUAUUUGGCGCUGGGAUCGACUUCGAUAAAAUACUUUUGCCUAAUCAAAAUUAGAGUGUGUUUGUUGUCUGUGUAAAAUAGA
rnacentral:sRNA from 1 species